rnacentral:rRNA from 1 species
AUUGAACGCUGGCGGAAUGCUUUACACAUGCAAGUCGAGCGGCAGCGCGGGGGCAACCCUGGCGGCGAGCGGCGAACGGGUGAGUAACAUAUCGGAACGUACCCAGUCGUGGGGGAUAACUAUCCGAAAGGAUAGCUAAUACCGCACACGUCCUGAGGGAGAAAGCGGGGGAUCGCAAGACCUCGCGCGAUUGGAGCGGCCGAUAUCGGAUUAGCUAGUUGGUGGGGUAAAGGCUCACCAAGGCGACGAUCCGUAGCGGGUCUGAGAGGACGACCCGCCACACUGGAACUGAGACACGGUCCAGACUCCUACGGGAGGCAGCAGUGGGGAAUUUUUGGACAAUGGGGGCAACCCUGAUCCAGCCAUUCCGCGUGAGUGAAGAAGGCCUUCGGUUGUAAG